GAUGAACGCUGGCUACAGGCUUAACACAUGCAAGUCGAGGGGAAACGCCGGGGAAGCUUGCUUCCCCGGGCGUCGACCGGCGCACGGGUGAGUAACGCGUAUCCAACCUGCCUCUGACUGAGGGAUAACCCGUCGAAAGUCGGCCUAAUACCUCAUGGCAUCGUCUGCGGGCAUCCAACGACGAUUAAAGAUUUCAUCGGUCAGAGAUGGGGAUGCGUCUGAUUAGCUUGUUGGCGGGGUAACGGCCCACCAAGGCGACGAUCAGUAGGGGUUCUGAGAGGAAGGUCCCCCACAUUGGAACUGAGACACGGUCCAAACUCCUACGGGAGGCAGCAGUGAGGAAUAUUGGUCAAUGGGCGAGAGCCUGAACCAGCCAAGUAGCGUGCAGGAUGACGGCCCUAUGGGUGGUAAACUGCUUUUAUGCGGGGAUAAAGUGAGGGACGUGUCCUUCAUUGCAGGUACCGCAUGAAUAAGGACCGGCUAAUUCCGUG
rnacentral:rRNA from 1 species